rnacentral:lncRNA from 1 species
GUCACUUCUCCAUGAUGGCUGUUCGACAUAUCUACUGGGAGGUGAACAGUGUCGUGAAUUGGGUUGUAUCUUUUGUUACCGAUCAUAUCGGAGACUGAUUCUGAUGCAAGAAGAUGAUUGCCCAAAAGCACUAUAUGAUAUUUUGUAUUUUGACUUCUUGGAUUGUACUCGCACUAGAAUCGUGUGAUCGCCUACUUAUAUUAAAAAAAAAGAUUAG